rnacentral:rRNA from 1 species
CCUACGGGAGGCAGCAGUGAGGAAUAUUGGACAAUGGGCGCAAGCCUGAUCCAGCCAUGCCGCGUGCAGGAUGACGGUCCUAUGGAUUGUAAACUGCUUUUAUACGAGAAGAAACACUACUUCGUGAAGUAGCUUGACGGUAUCGUAAGAAUAAGGAUCGGCUAACUCCGUGCCAGCAGCCGCGGUAAUACGGAGGAUCCAAGCGUUAUCCGGAAUCAUUGGGUUUAAAGGGUCCGUAGGCGGUUUAAUAAGUCAGUGGUGAAAGCCCAUCGCUCAACGGUGGAACGGCCAUUGAUACUGUUAGACUUGAAUUAUUAGGAAGUAACUAGAAUAUGUAGUGUAGCGGUGAAAUGCUUAGAGAUUACAUGGAAUACCAAUUGCGAAGGCAGGUUACUACUAAUAUAUUGACGCUGAUGGACGAAAGCGUGGGUAGCGAACAGGAUUAGAUACCCUGGUAGUCCACGCCGUAAACGAUGGAUACUAGCUGUUGGAAGCAAUUUCAGUUGGNUAGACGAAGUAGAUAAGUAUCCCACCCGUACGGGGUAGGUACGGUUACGUCGAAGAAGUAGUAAACGUUAAACGGUAAAGUUAGUACGGACGUGAGACGUAGACCGACGGACGACGACGAGGGAGGUUAGG